CGUCAAGUCAUCAUGGCCCUUACGACCAGGGCUACACACGUGCUACAAUGGGAAGGACAAAGAGCCGCGAAGCCGUGAGGUGUAGCUAAUCUCAGAAACCUUUUCGUAGUCCGGAUUGGAGUCUGCAACUCGACUCCAUGAAGUCGGAAUCGCUAGUAAUCGUAGAUCAGAAUGCUACGGUGAAUACGUUCCCGGGUCUU
rnacentral:rRNA from 1 species